rnacentral:rRNA from 1 species
CACGUAGGGUGCGAGCGUUGUCCGGAAUUAUUGGGCGUAAAGAGCUCGUAGGCGGUGUGUCGCGUCGAACGUGAAAUCCCCGGGCUCAACCCGGGAACUGCGUCCGAUACUGGUGGGCUUGAAUCCGGGAGAGGGAUGCGGAAUUCCAGGUGUAGCGGUGAAAUGCGUAGAUAUCUGGAGGAACACCGGUGGCGAAGGCGGCAUCCUGGACCGGUAUUGACGCUGAGGCGCGAAAGCCAGGGGAGCAAACGGG